rnacentral:rRNA from 1 species
GAUUAACGCUAGCGGCAGGCCUAAUACAUGCAAGUUGAACGGGAUUUCGGGUAGCAAUAUCUGGAUGAGAGUAGCGCACGGGUGCGUAACACGUAUGCAACCUACCUAUAACUGGGGGAUAGCCUCCCGAAAGGGAGAUUAAUACCGCAUAACAUUAUGAAGUGGCAUCACUUUAUAAUUAAACCUCAGGGGGUUAUAGAUGGGCAUGCGUCCGAUUAGCUAGUUGGUGAGGUAACGGCUCACCAAGGCUCCGAUCGGUAGGGGGUCUGAGAGGAUGAUCCCCCACACUGGUACUGAGACACGGACCAGACUCCUACGGGAGGCAGCAGUGGGGAAUUUUGGACAAUGGGCGAAAGCCUGAUCCAGCCAUGCCGCGUGCGGGAAGAAGGCCUUCGGGUUGUAAACCGCUUUAGUCCGGGAAAAAGGGGUGCGAGGAUAAUACCCUCGUGCUUUGAUGGUAUUGGAAGAAUAAGCACCGGCUAACUACGUGCCAGCAGCCGCGGUAAUACGUAGGGUGCGAGCGUUAAUCGGAAUUACUGGGCGUAAAGCGUGCGCAGGCGGUCUUGUAAGACAGUCGUGAAAGCCCCGGGCUUAACCUGGGAACUGCGAUUGUGACUGCAAGGCUAGAGUGUGUCAGAGG